AUCAGCUUUCUUGUAGUACAGU
rnacentral:siRNA from 1 species